AACGUAGGAGGCGAGCGUUAUCCGGAGUUACUGGGCGUAAAGCGUGCGUAGGCGGCGCGGUAAGUGAGGCGUGAAAGCCCCCUGCUAAACGGGGGGAGGACGCUUGAGACUGCCGGGCUAGAAUGAGAUAGAGGCGUGUGGAAUUCCGGGUGUAGCGGUGAAAUGUGCAGAGAUCCGGAGGAACACCAGAGGUGAAAACGGCGCGCUGGGUCUACAUUGACGCUGAGGCACGAAAGCUUGGGGAGCGAACGGG
rnacentral:rRNA from 1 species